AACACUUAGUAUUUUUUCCGCUUUCUCUAAAAUUUCGAACCCAGACCUCCAGAUCUCCUUCUCCAAGCUGACCUGCAUCGACUCCCGAUCUCCUUCUCCAAGCUGACCUGCGUCGACUCCCGACCUCAUUCUCCAACCUAAGCCUACUGGAGCCGCCUCCGAGUCCCCGACCUCGCUCUCUGACCCCGAGUUCCCCUGCCUCGCUCUGACCCCGAGUCCCCGAUCUAGUUUUCCAGACCUCGAGCUUGAGCUCCGAUCUGACCUCGAGCUUAUUAGCCGACCUGAGCUUGUCAUUCUCCAACGUCUAGUCUCGUAGUUCUUGCACAUGUUGGCUGUCAAUCUGCAGAGGAAGAUCGUAGAUUGAAGGUUUUCAAGAAGGAGUGGUUUGGAGGCAAGGACUGUCUUGACAUUGGCUGCUAUUCUAGGGUUAUCACUAUACAAAUCGGUCAACAUUCAUUAGUGACCAAGAUCUAAGGGUUGCAGUAUGAGUGUAUCCACAAGGAAACAAUAAAGGUUUCAGUUAUGAUCCUCCAUUAGCCCUUAAACAGGGCUUACUAAAGGGAACAUUGGAUAUUGACAAUCAUUUGGGAAGAUGAGAUUUAUAUCGUCGACCCUUUGCCAAAACCAGUGCAUUACAAACCAUGGGAAAAUGCAGUGAUAAAUGCAGUUAAAACUUACAAUGCUGAAAAGGGGAGGGUUAACAAAGUGCCUAAGUUAAAAUUACUUCCGGGCGCACCUAAGCAGCCGGGUGGAGUUGAGUGUGGCUAUUAUGUUAUGCGGUACAUGAAGGAUAUUAUUAAUGAUGACACGCUUUCGUUUUCAACCAAGUGGGCGGUAAAGGAUCGGAAAGGGUAUACCCAACAACAACUUGACGAGGUCCGCAUUGAAGUAGCCGACUACUUACAGACUCUGUUGUAGGUUCUGACCAGUUUCUUGAUUUUGAGUUAGACUAGCUUUUAACUAACUUUUUUGUAGCAAUUAUGAACAAACAAGAAUACUAAUUGCUAGGCUAGCCUUGUAGUAUAUAGGUGCAUGAAUUGGGGUUUUAUUUUCCCCAUUUUAUAAACUGUUAAGGAUGAUGAAUGUCGGAUAUAAUACCCCAAUUUGCAAUUUAUAAUCA